rnacentral:rRNA from 1 species
AGAGUUUGAUCAUGGCUCAGGAUGAACGCUGGCGGCGUGCUUAAUACAUGCAAGUCGAGCGGUAAGGCUUUCACAUUUUGCUUAAACGUUUAAUCUUCUCUCUAGGCUAGAGAGGGGCAGUUUGAGCAAUGCGUGAAAGUACACGAGCGGCGGACGGGUGAGUAACGCGUAAGAAUGUACCCCAUAGUGAGGGAUAAGCACCAGAAAUGGUGUCUAAUACCGCAUAAUCUCUUCGGAGCAAAGUUUUAUACGCUUUGGGAACAGCUUGCGUCUGAUUAGCUAGUUGGUAAGGUAACGGCUUACCAAGGCGACGAUCAGUAGCUGGUCUGAGAGGGUGACCAGCCACACUGGGACUGAGACACGGCCCAGACUCCUACGGGAGGCAGCAGUAGGGAAUUUUCCACAAUGGACGAGAGUCUGAUGGAGCAACGCCGCGUGAUGGAUGAAGGCCUUAGGGUCGUAAACAUCUUUUCUCUGUGACGAAUAUGACGGUAGCAGAGGAAUAAGGGUCGGCUAACUACGUGCCAGCAGCCGCGGUCAUACGUAGGACCCAAGCGUUAUCCGGAUUUACUGGGCGUAAAGAGUUGCGUAGGUGGUCUGUUAAGUAAAUAGUGAAAUCGUGUGGCUCAACCAUGCAUCCAUUAUUUAAACUGGCAGACUUGAGAGCGAGAGAGGUAGAUGGAAUUGCUAGUGUAGGAGUGGAAUCCGUAGAUAUUAGCAGGAACACCGAUGGCGUAGGCAGUCUACUGGCUCGUUUCUGACACUAAGGCACGAAAGCGUGGGGAGCAAACAGGAUUAGAUACCCUAGUAGUCC